AUUGAACGCUGGCGGCAGGCCUAACACAUGCAAGUCGAGCGAGCGGCGGACGGGUGAGUAAUGUCUGGGAAACUGCCUGAUGGAGGGGGAUAACUACUGGAAACUGUAGCUAAUACCGCAUACCCUCACAUGUGCCCCGAUGGGUUUAGCUGGUAGGUGGGGUAACGGGUCACCUAGGCGACGAUCCCUAGCUGGUCUGAGAGGAUGACCAGCCACACGGGAACUGAGACACGGUCCAGACUCCUACGGGAGGCAGCAGUGGGGAAUAUUGCACAAUGGGCGCAAGCCUGAUGCAGCCAUGCCGCGUGUGUGAAGAAGGCCUUCGGGUUGUAAAGCACUUUCAGCGGGGAGGCGUUACCCGCAGAAGAAGCACCGGCUAACUCCGUGCCAGCAGCCGCGGUAAUAC
rnacentral:rRNA from 1 species